AUUGAACGCUGGCGGCAUGCCUUACACAUGCCAGUCGAACGGCAACACGGUAAGCUCUUGCUUGUCCGAGUGGCGAGUAAUGUAUGGGUACGUGACCAGUCUGGAGCGAUUAUUUCGCGAAGGAGCACGUAGUGCCGCAUACGAUCAUACGGCGAAAGCGCUGCAUGUCAAAGCCGGGCACCUUUGGACCUUGCGCGAUUGGAUGAGCUGAUAUCUGAUUAGAUAGUUGGCGGGGUAAAGGCCCACCAAGGCGACGAUCCGUAGCUGGUCUGAGAGGAUGAUCAGCCACACUGGAACUGAGACACGGCCCAGACUCCUACGGGAGGCAGCAGUGGGGAAUAUUGGACAAUGGGCGCAAGCCUGAUCCAGCCAUGCCGCGUGGGGGAAGAAGGCCUUCGGGUUGUAAAGCGCUUUUGUCAGGGAAGAAAAGCAGCUGGCUAAUACCCCGGAGUUAUGACGGUACCUAAAGAAUAAGCACCGGCUAACUACGUG
rnacentral:rRNA from 1 species